rnacentral:rRNA from 1 species
AGAGUUUGAUCAUGGCUCAGGAUAAACGCUGGCGGCGUGCCUAACACAUGCAAGUCGAACGACCUUGCUUCGGCAAGGGAGUGGCGGACGGGUGAGGAACACGUGGGUACCUACCUUUUGGUGAGGGAUACCGGCGAGAAAUUGCCGACAAUACCGCAUAGGUUUGGGAGACCAAACAAAGUUGCAAGACGCCAAGAGAU